UCUAGCAAUGGUAAGGGAAUGGAUCUGGAGCCUCUCGAAGGAUAAUAAAGGUUCUAUAUAUCAUAUUACUACUCAACGGUAACAUGUAUCGCCAAAUACCCUGAGCUUGGGAAUAUGAAGAAAUUCAACCACUCGGCAGGAUGAGGAAUGUUGUGAAGCUUGGAAGA
rnacentral:ribozyme from 1 species